AAAAAUAUAUAUCGAAAAACUCACCAGGGUGACGCGUCUCUCUCUGUCCCCGAUCCACGGCGGCGUGCGCUCUCGCGACGCCGCCGUGCAGCGUCAUCAGAAUUGCACGUGCAUCGGCCGAGCGCUCCAGAGCUGUAACGAGGAUAGAGCACAGCCUCUCGCCCACACCUGGAGCCAUGAUACAUUUUCUCGCUCACUCUCUCUUGUGAAGCGCACGAGCGCGAGAGCAGCAGCAACAGCAUAUGCCCUCUCGCUCACACUCGCGACACUGUGCAUUCUCUCACUUGCUCUUUCGCUAGGUGUAGAGGCGCAGCGCUUCAAAGCUGCAGCAGUGAUACCAUAUACCGUCUCGCUCGCUCUCAUCACACUGAUCCUUUAGCGAGCAAACCUCUCUCUCGCUCUCCCGUGAGACGCGAUGCUUUAUACAGAGCUGUCAAAACGACGCAUACGGCUGCAGCCUCUUGAUACCUCUAAACAAACCCCACCGAUAUAUAUUCUUUAUUAUAUGCUAUUUUUGCGGAUUCAACCGAUUCACUUAUGAAGGACGUAUCUCCGGGGGCUAAAGACACAGCUCGGUCUUCGGGAGAAGAUGCUAUACAGGAGAUGGAGCAAUAUGCUCGGAAAUAUGCAUGCACAGGCAUAAACAAAGUUGUCUCACUCGUGCGCGUGCUUUUUCAUGCAAACACCGGGGACCAUGCAGAGUACUGUAAAACUUCAGCGACUGCUCCUUUGCCGUCUUGAAAAAAAAAAAAUAUCGCUAGCAUUUUAAUUAUGAUUCACACCUAUCUUCUCGCUCGAGAUAUGUCAGUAGCGAUUCAACCGUCAUAUAGAGCGGUAUUUAACGAUUACCCCUUACAAUGUCGGAUGAAUCAGUGCGUUCUUGUAUUUUGGGUCUUUUACGUCUAACAAAACCGCAUAGCGCUCAGCUGAGACGUCGGUGCAAUGAUCUAUGGUGUUACGAGCUGCUGCGUUUAUCGGGUGAUCGACUCGUGAACAGACUUAAAUACGUGAUCUGGUGGGCCCCUUUACGCGCUCUAGUGGUGGCCUAUAACAGAGGCAUAUUAAGUGGUCAACGAGUGCUGGGUGUUGUGUAUGAGGAGUUACAGCGCCGCGGUGUUUUAGAAGCUCCCCGCGUAAGAGGCCUUGUCGAUGAAAUCAGAUGUAAGUACCAUUAGCUCGAUAAAUCACUGUUGUUGGCGGUUGGCAAUACAGCAGUUAUUUUUACCAUAGGCUAUCGGCAGUUUUACGAUGCGGGGAGUGACGAAGAAGAGGCUCUCGCUGAGGCGACGAGAGCUGCGGAGGAAACGGAUCUAGAGCGUCAAGCCGUCCUCUACCAACCGCUGCAUGAGGAGGGGGUAGGGGAAGAGCCUAGAGCGAGCACCUCGGCAGCCCCGGCCGAGCCGAUACCGCUGGAUUUCACCAUAGGCCAUCGACAGUUUUACGACGCGGUGAGCGAUGAAGAAGAAGAAGAGGCUCUCGCUGAGGCGACGAGAGCUGUGGAGGAAGCAGAGCAUCAAACCGCCCUCUACCAACCGCAGUAUGAGGAGAGGGCUGAGGAAGAGCCUAGGGCGAGCACCUCGGCAGCAUCGGCCGAACCGAUACCGCUGCAACCAGAGUCUGAUGACGACGAGGCGUCGACUAUUCUCAACCCCUCCUUGAUGUUUAGCGAUCGGUCUGAUAUACUGGCUGUGUACCGGCAAGCCAGAGCAAACGAUGACGACGGAGCGAUAGCGGGUCCAUCGUAUCACCACCAGCGUCAGCAGGAAGAUGACCUCGUACAGCCCGAGAAUCAGCUGGG
rnacentral:lncRNA from 1 species